AGCUCCAAAAGCGUAUAUUAAAGUUGUUGCAGUUAAAAAGCUCGUAGUUGGAUUUCUGGCUUGAUGCGCCUGGCCCGCCACGGACUACGUGUGUGAGUGCCGGUUCGCGCGUCUGCCAUCCUUCUAGAGACACAUGUCUGCGGUUCAUUCCGCUGGACAUGAGGGAUCUAGAUCUUUUACUUUGAAAAAAUUAGAGUGUUUAAAGCAGGCGUUUACUUGCUAUGAAUACAUUAGCAUGGAAUAAUAAUUUAGGACUUCGGUUCUAUUUUGUUGGUUUUGGGAACUGAAGUAAUGAUUGAUAGGGAUUAUUGGGGGUGCUAGUAUUCAGCGGCCAGAGGUGAAAUUCUUGGAUUCGCUGAAGACUAACUUAUGCGAAAGCAUUCACCAAGGAAGUCUUCUU
rnacentral:rRNA from 1 species